rnacentral:rRNA from 1 species
GACGAACGCUGGCGGCGUGCUUAACACAUGCAAGUCGAACGGUGAAGCGCCUUCCUUUUUGGUGGGUGUGGAUGAGUGGCGAACGGGUGAGUAACACGUGAGUAACCUGCCCCCUUCUUCUGGAUAACCGCAUGAAAGUGUGGCUAAUACGGGAUAUUCUGGUUCUGUCGCAUGAUGGGUCUGGGAAAGCUAUUGUUUCGGUGGGGGAUGGUGUCGCGGCCUAUCAGCUUGUUGGUGGGGUGAUGGCCUACCAAGGCGGUGCCGGGUAGCCGGCCUGAGAGGGUGGACGGACAAAGGGGGAGAGAGACAGGCCCGAGACCGACAGGAGGGGGAGGAGGGGGAGAUAUGGCAAAGUGGGCGAGAGUGUGCUGGCGCGACGCCGCGGGAGGAGUGGGGGCCUGCGUGGUAAGAACCUCUUUUGGGAGUAAAGCAGGGCUACCUUGUGUGUGGGUGGGUUGACGGUAGCUGGAAGAGAAACGCCGGCUAACUACGUG